GAUGAAGAACGUAGUGAAAUGCGAUAAGUAAUGUGAAUUGCAGAAUUCAGUGAAUCAUCGAAUCUUUGAACGCACAUUGCGCCCCUUGGUAUUCCGGGGGGCAUGCCUGUUCGAGCGUCAUUAUAACCCCUCAAGCUCAGCUUGGUGUUGGGGCCUGCCAACUGGCAGCCCUUAAAAUCAGUGGCGGCGCCAUCUGGCUCUAAGCGUAGUAAUUUCUCUCGCUAUGGAGUCCCGGUGGACGCUUGCCAGCAACCCCCAACUUUCUAUGGUUGACCUCGGAUCAGGUAGGGAUACCCGCUGAACUUAAGCAUAUCAAUAAGCGGAGGA
rnacentral:misc_RNA from 1 species